rnacentral:lncRNA from 1 species
UUGGAAUUCACCAUGUAGAUCAGGUUGGUCAAGAACUCACUCACUGGCUGUCCUCCUGCCUCUGCCUCCUGAAUGCUGGGAUUGCAGGCAUGUAUCACCCUAUCUAGCUGUAUCUCCUUUGCUUUAUGCCUGGCUUUCUUUUCUUUCUUCCUUUCCCCGUCUCCUACAUUUGGGCAUGUGUGUUUAUGUGUGAAAGUGGUAACAGGGUCUUUUUAGACUCACUCGCUAUGAGUCCUAUGAUUGGUG